rnacentral:rRNA from 1 species
AAUGAACGUUGGCGGCAUGGAUUAGGCAUGCAAGUCGCGCGCGAAAUGUAGCAAUACAUGGAGAGCGGCGAAAGGGAGAGGAAUACGUGGGAACCUACCUUCGGGCCUGGAAUAGCGGCGGGAAACUGCCGGUAAUGCCAGAUAAUGUUUCCGAACCAAAGGUGUGAUUCCGCCGGGAGAUGGGCCCACGUCCUAUCAGCUUGUUGGUGUGGUAACGGCGCACCAAGGCUAAGACGGGUAUGGGGGGUGAGAGCAUGCCCCCACUCACUGGGACUGAGACACUGCCCAGACACCUACGGGUGGCUGCAGUCGAUAAUCUUCGGCAAUGAGCGCAAGCUUGACCGAGCGAUGCCGCGUGCGGGAUGAAGGCCCUCGGGUUGUAAACCGCUGUCGUAGAGGAGUAAUGGUCGUUGGGUUCUCCCAACGAUUUGAACAAUUCUAGGAGGAAGGACGGGCUAAGUUCGUGCCAGCCGCCGCGGUAACAC